rnacentral:rRNA from 1 species
UACGUAGGGCGCAAGCGUUAUCCGGAAUUAGUGGGCGUAAAGAGCUCGUAGGCGGUUUGUCGCGUCUGCCGUGAAAGUCCGGGGCUUAACCCCGGAUCUGCGGUGGGUACGGGCAGACUUGAGUGAUGUAGGGGAGACUGGAAUUCCUGGUGUAGCGGUGAAAUGCGCAGAUAUCAGGAGGAACACCGAUGGCGAAGGCAGGUCUCUGGGCAUUAACUGACGCUGAGGAGCGAAAGCAUGGGGAGCGAACAGG